rnacentral:lncRNA from 1 species
GUUAGUGAUGAUUUAUGAAUUGUUGCUUGUAUAACAUGUACGCUGGAGUUUCAACAGAUUGAACACAGUUUUGCUAUGAAGUGUUUGUGAUUUUACAGUCCCUGAAGAGUUACCACAUGUGAUGGAUGUAGAAAUAACAAUCUGAAGAACUGCAAUAAGCAUAGGAAGAAGUGGAAAUCACAGCUAUUCUGCAGAUAUGCCAGGCACUCUCUCUGGGGGCAGCAAAGACAGGCUACACUUGACCUGAUCUGCAUCGUUCACUGGAUCCAACAUCUGCGUCAUGAUACCAGCGGUCAGGGCCUAAUUUUCCUCACCUUUCCAUUGGACUUCAAUGAACUUCCAUCGCCUUUAACAC